rnacentral:rRNA from 1 species
GACGAACGCUGGCGGCGUGCCUAAUACAUGCAAGUAGAACGCUGAAGAGAGGAGCUUGCUCUUCUUGGAUGAGUUGCGAACGGGUGAGUAACGCGUAGGUAACCUGCCUGGUAGCGGGGGAUAACUAUUGGAAACGAUAGCUAAUACCGCAUGAAAUUGAAUAUCGCAUGAUAAUUAAUUGAAAGAUGCAACUGCAUCACUACCAGAUGGACCUGCGUUGUAUUAGCUAGUUGGUGAGGUAACGGCUCACCAAGGCGACGAUACAUAGCCGACCUGAGAGGGUGAUCGGCCACACUGGGACUGAGACACGGCCCAGACUCCUACGGGAGGCAGCAGUAGGGAAUCUUCGGCAAUGGGGGGAACCCUGACCGAGCAACGCCGCGUGAGUGAAGAAGGUUUUCGGAUCGUAAAGCUCUGUUGUAAGAGAAGAAUGGGUG